CGAGUGGCGAACGGGUGAGUAACGCAUCGGAACGUGCCCAGUAGUGGGGGAUAGCCCGGCGAAAGCCGGAUUAAUACCGCAUACGACCUACGGGUGAAAGCGGGGGAUCGCAAGACCUCGCGCUAUUGGAGCGGCCGAUGUCAGAUUAGGUAGUUGGUGGGGUAAAGGCCUACCAAGCCGACGAUCUGUAGCUGGUCUGAGAGGACGACCAGCCACACUGGGACUGAGACACGGCCCAG
rnacentral:rRNA from 1 species